UGUCAUGGUCUGGGUGGGCACCUGCAGGUCUCCGACAGCGGCCCCUCCUCCUUUGGGCGGAGUUCGGUUGCUCCUCCCUGGCUGACCACCUGUGAGCAAUCAUGCCAGCAGUAUAUCAGACCUGCGCUCUCAACCAUUCAUCGCCUGAGUAUCUGCUAUCCCCAUAGGUAGCACCUGGAGUGGAGAUCUUGUCUCCCUCACUCCCGCCUUCCUGGACCUGGGCCGCCUGCUGCUAACACGACGUGGCCUGCCGGCCCACCACUCACUUGCCUGCCUCCCCACGCCUCGACCGCUUCCGGGCUUCCGCCCCACCUGUCUCCUCCACCUGAAACCAAUGCCCCGGCCCCUGCCUAAUCCUGUUUCUACCUCCCCGCUGCCUCUGCUGUUCAGCCGUCUCCUAGAGGUGUCUAGGUCACCCUCAUUAUCGUAGAUAAUCCUACGCGCCACGAGUGUGGUGGCGCCGCUUUGCUUUUGCUUUUGUUUGCCUG
ensembl:lncRNA